rnacentral:lncRNA from 1 species
UUGGCAGGCGGUUGUUCUUGCCUGCAAUGCCUACUUCGAAACUCAGUUCAAAAACUGCAAUGAUCAUGUUUUCCAGCCAGAACAGAUCGCGAAUUUCGCCACACUGGCCAUUAUUAAAUUUUUUUGUUUUACCAGAAAGAAUGGGCGAAUGAUCGCAUCAUACACGCUGACGCUGCGAGGAGCAGAUGAC